rnacentral:rRNA from 1 species
GCCGGCGACCGGCGCACGGGUGAGUAACACGUAUGCGACCUGCCCCCGCAGGGGAUAACCGGGAGAAAUCCCGACUAAUACCGCGUAACGCCGCGGACCUGCAUGGGUCUGCGGCCAAAGGAAGCGAUUCCGGCGGGGGAUGGGCAUGCGGCGCAUUAGCUAGUCGGCGGGGUAACGGCCCACCGAGGCGACGAUGCGUAGGGGUUCUGAGAGGAAGGUCCCCCACCACUGGUACUGAGACACGGACCAGACUCCUACGGGAGGCAGCAG